AGAACUAAAAAUAUAUUUUCAAAUCAAUAAAUAUAGCAUGCAGCCCCAUAAAAACGUAUGAAUAACUAGAAAAUACAUAUGUAUUAUUCAAAAAUACAUAUGCAUUAGUCAUAAAUACAUAUACAAUUUGGUAAUACAUAUGUAUUAUUCAUAAAUGUAUAUAUGCAUAACUGAAAAUAUACAUAUGCAUUAAUCAUAAAUACAUAUGCACAACUCGAAAAUACAUAUUCUUUCUUUUCGUUUGACUUCCUCUUUUUCACAUAUUUUUGCACUUUUUGGUGUUUUU
rnacentral:lncRNA from 1 species